AUGGGAUGCUGUGUCAGGAAUCACAGGGGGGAUGCAGGUGGUACAGGGCGGUGCUGUCAAUACUCUGCUAACAAAACAACCUUAGAUACUAAUGUAUUUAACCCUUCCCCACCUCAAAUUCUACUUUAAUACCAAGAACCCUUUUUCUGCUGAGGGCACUCAUUUCCCACCUCCUGCCACAGGUCACCUGGUUUGGAGAUUUGUUCUGAGCUCCUACCUGACUCCUGGUGUCCACAGUGCUGCUCUGGCUGCAUAUCCUUCCUCUGUCCCACCCCAUGGUGAAAAUGUGUCCACAGUGAACAGGAAUGAGACCUGCAUGGUGUGGACCGUCCAGGGAGGCAGGCCGGAAAAGCAGGUGGAGACCUGGUGCCUGUCUUCCUGGGCAGUGAUCCCUCAUACGUGCCCACCUUCCUGGGUACCUGCAGAGCUUUUGCCACCAACCAAUAGCACUUGACCUGCUGUUCAAAAAUGUGGAUGCAUCCUCCCUUACUCUGAUGAGGAUGGCAGACCCCUAGACCAACUGAAAAAAGCUCAACAUGCCCUGCUUGGACCUAGAGUGCCAUGCCUACCUCCUCCUGGCAAAAACCUAGAGCUUCAUGAGUCCAUUGAUGCCAAGGGUAAGGAGGACUGAGGGUGAGGAGACUUGAGUGAUGUGGGCUGUGGGGAGGGGAGAGUGUUGGGUCACACAAAGCUGAGCCUCCAGAGGCUGAGGUUGGGCGAGGAGCAAUGAGUAGCCUCAGAUCACUAUUCACCUGGACUGCAGUCUGGGAAGACCUCCUGGGGGUGCGUUCUUGGACAGAGACUUCAGUAACUGGCAGUGAGAGAUUUCCUGUCUUUGGAGGGCACAUGGAAAGGUAAUCAUGUGGAUGGUAUUUUCUUUUCUUGGAGCUACAGCACCAGCUCCACAACAAGCCCUAGAACCACUUCAAGAGCUAGCACCAGCUCCAACUCAACUGCCCACUACAGCUCCAGAGCCAGAUCAGACUCAGGCCCAGUUUUCGUUUAAGCUCUAGAGCUAGAAGAAGCAUGUACGCAGGCUCCAAUUCCAGAGCCAGAGGAAUUCAAGCAACAGCUCUCACCCAAGCUCCAUAGCUAGAACCAUCACAAAAACCUGUUCUAGUAUUUGCUCCAGAACUCUAGCCACUUCCGUCCAUAGCCUCGAUUCCAGAGCUUAAGCCUACACCAGCAAGAGCCCUACCAUUAGUUCUUGAGCUCCAUAGUGCUUUGGCACAGCUCCAGCUCCAGAGCGUAAUCUGGUUCCAGCUCUAGAUCUAGAGACAACAAUAGACCCAGUUCUUAUAGUUACUCCAGUGCCAGAUCCAGUUCCUCCCCCAGUAUACUAGAGCUGGUACCAGCUCAACAACUAGCACCAGCCCCUGCAGCAUCUCCAGGUCCCGGUCCUUAGCUGCAACUAGUGCCAGCUGCAGCCCCAGAGACUUCCUUCCCCUCCCCUAUAAUUCCACUUUUUAAAAUUUUGUUUUUUUCUUAUAUAUACUCAAUAUUUUACUCUAUUCUAGUGUAUAAAAUUCCCUUAAAAU
rnacentral:lncRNA from 1 species